rnacentral:snoRNA from 1 species
CUCGAUGAGGAUAUAUGCACUGGGCACCGAACUUAAAUGAGUGACAAUGCUAAAGGCGGGCCUCAGAAACCCGCCGUGACUGACGAG